rnacentral:rRNA from 1 species
UGACCGCUUGAGAGAUCAAGUUUUCCCUUCGGGGACAAUGGUGACAGGUGGUGCAUGGUUGUCGUCAGCUCGUGUCGUGAGAUGUUGGGUUAAGUCCCGCAACGAGCGCAACCCCUAUCCUUAGUUGCCAGCAUUGAGUUGGGCACUCUAGGGAGACUGCCGGUGACAAACCGGAGGAAGGUGGGGAUGACGUCAAAUCAUCAUGCCCCUUAUGAGUUGGGCUACACACGUGCUACAAUGGACGGUACAAAGGCCAGCGAGACCGCGAGGUGGAGCCAAUCCCAUAAAGCCGUUCCCAGUUCGGAUUGCAGGCUGCAACUCGCCUGCAUGAAGUCGGAAUCGCUAGUAAUCGCAGGUCAGCAUACUGCGGUGAAUACGUUCCCGGGUCUUGUACACACCGCCCGUCACACCACGAGAGUUUGCAACAUCCGAAGCCGGUGAGUAACCNACAAGGAGC